UACGUAGGCAGCGAGCGUUGUUCGGAGUUACUGGGCGUAAAGGGUGUGUAGGCGGUUGUUUAAGUUUGGUGUGAAAUCUCCCGGCUCAACUGGGAGGGUGCGCCGAAUACUGAAUGACUUCGAGUGCGGGAGAGGGGAGUGGAAUUCCUGGUGUAGCGGUGAAAUGCGUAGAUAUCAGGAGGAACACCGGUGGUGUAGACGGCUCUCUGGACCGUAACUGACGCUGAGAAGCGAAAGCAUGGGGAGCGAACAGG
rnacentral:rRNA from 1 species